rnacentral:rRNA from 1 species
UGCCAGUAGUCAUAUGCUUGUCUCAAAGAUUAAGCCAUGCAUGACUAAGUAUAAGCAAUUAUACCGCGAAACUGCGAAUGGCUCAUUAUAUAAGUUAUCGUUUAUUUGAUAAUACUUUACUACUUGGAUAACCGUGGUAAUUCUAGAGCUAAUACAUGCUAAAAAUCCCGACUUCGGAAGGGUUGUAUUUAUUAGAUUAAAAACCAAUGCCCCUCGGGGCUCUCUGGUGAAUCAUGAUAACUAGUCGAAUCGACAGGCCUUGUGCCGGCGAUGGCUCAUUCAAAUUUCUUCCCUAUCAACUUUCGAUGUUUGGGUCUUGUCCAAACAUGGUGGCAACGGGUAACGGAGGGUUAGGGCUCGACCCCGGAGAAGGAGCCUGAGAAACGGCUACUACAUCCAAGGAAGGCAGCAGGCGCGCAAAUUACCCAAUCCCGACACGGGGAGGUAGUGACAAUAAAUACUGAUACAGGGCUCUUUUGGGUCUUGUAGUCGGAAUGAGUACAAUUUAAAUCCCUUAACGAGGAACAAUUGGAGGACAAGUCUGGU